rnacentral:rRNA from 1 species
CUCUGCGCCCCAAGGUGUAUUAGUCCCGCUGGAGGCUGAGGAGAUCUUCCCCCCCUGUGACAGAGUUGAUGGGAAUGCCUUCGUUCCAAGUUUGGGAGCCUAGGGUCGGCGGUACCCCACCCUCCAGGGUUAACCAGGCAGAACUAAGGAUGGGGCCCCGCCCGGCACCGAUCUGUAAAACAUGACCCCGCCCCCGCAAAUACCACCCCUGUAUCUGAGGAAAGGCCUCCCCUCCCUCCUCCUUAAAAAAACCCCCUUUUUUGGAAAGAGUACGCGCGCGCGCGCGCGCCCCUCACACGCCCGUCGCUACUACCGAUUGAAUGGCUCAGUGAGGCCUUCGGACUGGCGCCGGAGGGUGGGCAACGACCCCCCAGCGCCGGAAAGUGGGUCAAACUCGGGUCAUUUAGAGGAAGUAAAAGUCGUAACAAGGUUUCCGUAGGUGAACCUGCGGAAGGAUCAUUACCGAGUGAGGGCCCUCUGGGUCCAACCUCCCACCCGUGUGGCACGAACCUGUGUGGCUUCGGCGGGCCCGCCGCCUAGGCCGCCGGGGGGCAUCCGCCCCCGGGCCCGCGCCCGCCGAAGCCCCCCUCUGAACGCUGUCGGAAGUUGCAGUCUGAGAAACUAGCUAAAUUAGUUAAAACUUUCAACAACGGAUCUCUUGGUUCCGGCAUCGAUGAAGAACGCAGCGAAAUGCGAUAACUAAUGUGAAUUGCAGAAUUCAGUGAAUCAUCGAGUCUUUGAACGCACAUUGCGCCCUCUGGUAUUCCGGAGGGCAUGCCUGUCCGAGCGUCAUUGCUGCCCUCAAGCACGGCUUGUGUGUUGGGCCCCGUCCCCCCCGCGCCGGGGGGACGGGCCCGAAAGGCAGCGGCGGCACCGCGUCCGGUCCUCGAGCGUAUGGGGCUUCGUCACCCGCUCUGUAGGCCCGGCCGGCGCCAGCCGACCCCCAACCUUUAUAUUUCUCAGGUGACCUCGGAUCAGGUAGCUACGGGGGA